AUUGAACGCUGGCGGCAUGCCUUACACAUGCAAGUCGAACGGUAACGGGCCUUCGGGUGCCGACGAGUGGCGAACGGGUGAGUAAUGUAUCGGAACGUACCUUUCAGUGGGGGAUAACGUAGCGAAAGUUACGCUAAUACCGCAUAUUCUGUGAGCAGGAAAGCAGGGGAUCGCAGGACCUUGCGCUGAUUGAGCGGCCGAUAUCAGAUUAGCUAGUUGGUGAGGUAAAGGCUCACCAAGGCGACGAUCUGUAGCGGGUCUGGGAGGAUGAUCCGACACACUGGAACUGAGACACGGUCCAGACUCCUACGGGAGGCAGCAGUGGGGAAUUUUGGACAAUGGGGGCAACCCUGAUCCAGCCAUGCCGCGUGAGUGAAGAAGGCCUUCGGGUUGUAAGGCUCUUUCGGCCGGGAAGAAAUCGUAUCAGCUAAUACCUGGUGCGGAUGACGGUACCGGCAUAAGAAGCACCGGCUAACUACGUGCCAGCCGCCGCAGUAAUAC
rnacentral:rRNA from 1 species